UACGUAGGCAGCAAGCGUUGUUCGGAGUUACUGGGCGUAAAGGGUGUGUAGGCGGUUGGAUAAGUGUGGCGUGAAAUCUCCCGGCUCAACUGGGAGGGUGCGCUACAAACUGUCUGACUAGAGUGUGGGAUGGGAAAGUGGAAUUCCUGGUGUAGCGGUGAAAUGCGUAGAUAUCAGGAGGAACACCGGUGGUGUAGACGGCUUUCUGGACCAUAACUGACGCUGAGACACGAAAGCGUGGGUAGCAAACAGG
rnacentral:rRNA from 1 species